AGCCCAACGAGGUAGCAAUACCAUCCUGCUCAGGUGCUGCAUGGCUGUCGUCAGCUCGUGUCGUGAGAUGUUGGGUUAAGUCCCGCAACGAGCGCAACCCUCGCCCUUAGUUGCCAUCAUUUAGUUGGGCACUCUAAGGGGACUGCCGGUGACAAACCGGAGGAAGGUGGGGAUGACGUCAAGUCCUCAUGGCCCUUAUGGGUAGGGCUUCACACGUAAUACAAUGGCGCGUACAGAGGGUUGCCAAGCCGCGAGGUGGAGCCAAUCCCACAAAGCGCGUCGUAGUCCGGAUUGCAGUCUGCAACUCGACUGCAUGAAGUCGGAAUCGCUAGUAAUCGCGGAUCAGCAUGUCGCGGUGAAUACGUUCCCGGGUCUUGUACACACCGCCCGUCACACCAUGGGAGUGGGUUUCACCAGAAGCCGGUCGCCUAACCGCAAGGAGGGCGCCGACCACGGUGAGAUUCAUGACUGGGGUGAAGUCGUAACAAGGUAGCCGUAA
rnacentral:rRNA from 1 species